UUACGACCAUAUCGCAUGGAAACAGCGGUUCACGUCCGAUCACCGAAGUUAAGCGGCGUUGGGUCUAGUUAGUACUCGGAUGGGUGUCCGCUGGGGAAUACCAGGUGCUGUAAA